UAAUACAGAGAAGUCAGUCAAAGGACAGAGGGGACAUUUGGAUAAUUACCAUCUAUUGGCUAGUCAAUCACGCGAACAGAGAGAAACUGCACAAAACCCACAAUGGAGUUGGGAAACAAAAGAGACCCGAGCCAGACUCAGGAUUAACCGGUCUAAAGCGAUCUAAAUGCUUUUGUAUCUGAAGAACUGAGGCUCCCGGGUUGCCCCCCCCACACACACACCAACAAUCCCAGGGAACUAAUUGCGGGGAUCAGAGUUAAAGCUCUCUCCCUCCUUUCCCAUUUCUCUUUGUAGACUGCUCACCACGCAGAAAAAAAAAAAUGAUUUCUCUCUCUGUGUUCAUUAAACUAUUUUAAAGUUAAAGAGGUGGGGGAGGGGGAUAGAUGUAGCCCCUCAGUCCAGAAGCUGGGAUUCCUCUGCCGUCGAAGAGGCUGGGACAGUCUCGGUUGGUCUCAAUUCUUUGUUUCAGGGUAAAGUCUUCCUUGCUUGCCCCGUGGAAACAAAUGCCCCUUGCACCUGGGCUGCGGCUGGGCAGCUGCCCCUUUCCUGCGGGCUACUACGGAUUGCUGGUGCCCUGCUUUGGGUGAGGAGUCCCCACAGCUGGCCCCUGCACUAGAAAAACACAAGGUAGAUCCCUCCAGCUGAAGACAAAUUGAUCUGCACAGCCAGGAUUAUGGGGGUGAAGGGCAGCAUAGGAAUGGGUCUAGCCUUGGAAAUGGGAAAGUGAGCCACAGAAGGUGGUUCCAAAUUGUGGGGAGAGAGAAUUUCCUUUUAAACUGGGGAGUGAGAAAGAGGAAGAAAAUCCUUCUAAAUUGGAGGAGGGAGGGGAUGUGCUUAAUUGGGGAAGAGGAAUGGGAAAAGACUCCUGCUUGAGAAGAAGGGUGGCAAAGAGGUGAUUCCUCAAAAGAGACACUGGAAAAUAAUGUCUAUAAAAUUUUAGGGAUUCGGAGAGGAUAGUGACAGAGGAAGAGAAUUCCUUAAAAGAGAAAAAGAUCUGGACAGAAGAUCUCUGUACCUGAGCGUGAGACUCCCCCACGCUCCAGACAGAGCGGCAACUGCCAGCCACUUGCCACCAGGUCCUCCCUUUGACAAGCCCAACUCGCCCAAAGCCCUCCCGGCCCGACGGGGCCCUCCCGUGCUCCCGGCUCAGUGGCAGCGGCGGUUCCCGGUCCGGGUCCGCGGGUGCCUGCCGUGGCCCUCCCCGCACCACGCGCAGCCCUCCAGGCCCCCGGGGCGCGCCGAGGCGCUUCCUUACCUUGCUUCAGGGAUGUUUCCCGGACCGAGUGUGGCUUCAGAGUCAGAGAGAUGUGAGUUCAAGACCACUUGCUUAGGAGGAAGCAAAAGAGGAGGAGAAGGCAGAGGAAGGCGACGACUGAGAACAAAAGAAGAGCAGUGGCAAAGGAGUGGCUUUUGUGGACAAGAUGCGACCACCUCAUGAGGAUCAAGAUGUACUCCUUGCUCUUCUCUGCACAGCAGUCUCAAAACUAGGCUACACCGUCUGUCUCCUCUGGUCACCAUUUUGAGAGGCAGCAAGGGUCUUCCUAACCCUCAGCUCCCUCUGAUUUUUGGAAUUCAGAUUUGGAUUUUGGAUGUACAUCAAGAGGCUGGCUCCACGCAUUUUAAUUAAGUUGUCUUUUUUCAUUUAUUACUAAUACACUCCUCUUAACUAUGAUUUAUUGGUUAAACAAAGCACCAUAAGCCGUCACUUAUUCAUCUUAAUUUCAACAAAAUUAAAGUAGUCGCUGUUAGAUUGCACCUAAUUGCACUUGCAAUGAAAAGAACGGAGAUGUUAAUCAAAAUAAAUUGAAGAUAAACAAUAAAAUCAUUACAUCUUUGCGGU
rnacentral:lncRNA from 1 species